rnacentral:lncRNA from 1 species
GGAGGAGCGGUGAAUGGAGAGAGUGCGGCGGCCAGAGGAAGCAUGUGCUAAAGGAGGAACAGGACGCGCAACAGAAAAACCACCGUGACUAAAAAGGGGGGAAAUAAUGUCAGCCUCACUGAUCUGUACACCACACACAGGGACGGCAGUACAGCGAUACCAGACAUGAAGCGAAAUUGGCCUUUUCUCAACAGCAACCCCAAACGACACAGGAAUAGCAGCAGCAACUUCGCAAUUGAUGCGGUGUUCCAGUUUCUCCACUUCAUGCUUUGGUAGUGGCGUUGCAUGGAUGACGCAGUAAACACGUUUCAAGAAGGCAACUUAUCAUAUUGAUAACUUUUGUCUGAGAAUAAAACUGAGGACAGUAACCACGGACGACAUGAAAUAGUUGCGGAGAAGAGCAGUACGUUUCUUGUGAGACUGGCUUGGAUUUCUAUCGCUCUGCUGCAACAUUGUGAUAUUUUGAGUUUCUUCUGAAAUAACAAGAAUCGGUCGCUUGACUGAAACGUUGUAUCUCACAAAACGGACCGAAACACAUUACGUUGAAUGGACAUCGUUAAGCGUGCAAAUGUUUAGAAUAAACAGCAUAUUGAUUUGGAAGACCAUAAAUUGAAGGACACAUUGCUGAAUGGAUGUUUGCGAGUUGUAUUUACGACGAGGAAAGUUUUAGAAAAGUAGCCAAUGCCAUGCUGGAAAGGAAUGGAUUUAAAGGACAAACAACUGUCUACUUGGCGUCAGUGAAUAUUAAACAUGAUAUGAUGAAUGUCGCGCAAUGUGUUCAAAUAAGGCAUUCAUCACUUACAGUUAUUGAAGAAAAUGGAUUUUAAUAGUUAUUGUAAGGGCUUGCCGUGCAAAAGGAGAUCAACGAGCCGAGUCAUACAUUGAUGAACCUUCAUGGAACAUAAUCAAAUUUAACGUCAUAGUCAGUGCUGCAUCUGCUUGGACUUCUCACUAAUGUUCUCACGAUUGGGAAUGUAUAGCUACAUGGGCCUACAUUGUUAAUCCUCAACGGAAGACGAACAACUGCAGCUGAGAGCACCUGGAAUGUGAAUGUGGACCGCAACCAACCUCGUGCAUCAUGAAUGACACCAGGUCCAUUUGAACAGCACUGUAGUUGAAUCAGUAUAACUUAUAGACAACAACGCGACGAAUUAUAUAGCCCCUUACUCGUAAUGGACAAGAACUGUUUAGCUUUUCAAAUGGAGUUGACUCUUAUGGUUGUUGCCCUCUUAUCUUGGGUCGCGGUAUGGGCGGACGAUAGCAAAAUCAUAUCAGACAGAUAUGCAGUCUACUGGAACAGCACGAACCACAGGUGAGUGCUUUUUAUGAUAUUUCUUUUUUGUGUGUGUGUUCAACAUUUAUCUCAGAAGUUCUUUAAAACAAAAUGUAUCUUGGAUUUGGUAUUUCAAUUGAAGAACUGGCUUUAUAGUAUAUUCACAUCGUGUCCCAGUCUGGUUCUGAAAUAGUCCCAAACAUGGCAAAAACAUUGACAUGUGAUAACAUUUGAAUGCUUAUCUUCUUGGCUCAAUUCAGACAGGAAUGGGUUGUUCUUUUGUUGACAAAAGACCUGACUCAGCCCUAGUUUGAGGGAGAUUCCCUUUAUGUGUUGGGUAAAGCUUCGGUGGCUUCCAUCUCCACAACCCCUCUUUCCUCAGCUCUCCAUGACUUUAGCUUUGGCUGCACUCGAGCAGGGUGCAGUGGGCAGGCCUAGUGUAGCUCGAGCAGGGUGCAGUGACAGUAAAGAGAGGAGUGGACUUGAAGUGGUUUAGGCUGGCUUUGAUACAAUGGAGCGGAGGGGAGAUCCAUUCGUUCCCCCACACAACCCAUGUCCACCGCAACUACAAUCAGUAGUAAACAGACUCUGCUGCACAUUCAGACCCAUUACUAGUCAACUUGUUUCUUUGAAGAACAGCUAUGGAAUGACACUGGCGCAUAGCAACCUCACCUCUAACCCAUACCCAUGUGAUUGGAAUGUUGAUGUUGCCAUGUGAAUAGGCAUGUGUUUAUGCAUUGGUAUGUGCGUUGUGUGUUUUUGUGUUUGUUUUCCCAUCAACCCACAGUAUGCAUUAAUGGCCUGACAUCUGACUGUCAAAAUGUCACUAUUUAAAUAUUUUACUUCUUCAUGACUGUGUGUGUGUGUGUGUCUGUGUGUGUGUGUGUGUUUGUGUCUGUGUGUGUGUGUCUGUGUGUGUGUGUGUCUGUGUGUGUGUGUCUGUGUCUGUGUGUGUGUCUGUGUGUCUGUGUGUCUGUCUGUGUGUGCUUGCGCAUGUAUGUUUGUGUUGGAGAAAGAUAUUAUACUUUUGCGUAUAGUGUUUAGCUAAGAGGCAGAAUCCAACCCUGUAUGCAUUUGGGUUUGAUUUCCUUACAAGAGAAAUAUCCACAACAACCCUACUCUGUUUAUCCUAAUGCUGGAUGAAUCUUUAUUUUAUUUCCGUCCAAAUCCUCUAAAGUAAAUGAAGAUUAAUGACAUGGUGGUCUGAAAGAAUCUCCAUCUAAAUGCUCUUUGCUCAGAAUAGUCCUGGGAAAAUACACAAUUAAUCUCUAUUGUGAGCAACUAGUGUCAGAAUAAAGUCCCUUAUGAGGAACACAUUAAUAGAAAACUCUCCCAUGAUAACAUAAUCAAAUGAGGGUCAGGUGUAGAAUAGCUUAACGAUGUAUGGUAGCCUUCAUUAUGUUAGAUAAUUGCCAUUUCCCAAUGGCAUGAGAACAGGCCCUUAUAUGCAAGCCUGGUAAAGGACCAGUCUCCAAAGUAAUACCCAAUGAUUCAAUUAAUGUUGAUUUAGUCAAAAGGUCUGACAGGGAAUUUGUGCUCGCUACAUCAUAAAUCCUAUUUUGCCGUUGGAUCCGAAGCUGCUCUCUUCUCUUAAGUGCUUGUAGAUCACCUCUCCGCGGUACAGAGCGCAUCCAGAAUGGACAAAGUGCUAUGAUAUCUUGCUGAUGCCCCUUAAUUCUUCAAUGAGGCCCCUCCACUAGUUGAAAUAUUUUGGAGAAAUCUGUUCCGGGGAGUAACUACGAUGAUGUGUCUCCUAUUUGUUUUGAUGACGCAA